AUGCCCAAGCGGACCAUGGGAGGGACGGCCGACGCCGGGGCCGACGCCAUGGUGUCACCUACGCCGGAGCAGGUGGCUCCUCCGCCGGAGCAGGUGACUCCUCUGCCACGCCAUCUUCCUCCUCUGCCAUGCCAUCUGCCUCCUCUGCCGCAGCCCAUGGUCAACAUCGACAGCGACAACGACGAAGAAGUGGUAGCUGCUCUGGCUCCUCAGACGGAGCAGGUGUCUCCUCUGCCGCGGGUGACGCCUCCUGUGCCCGAGCCUGUGGUCGUCGGCGAUGUCAACAAAGAAGACCCUCACUCGGGUGUUCGUCUGCCGCGGUUGUUGCCUCCCCUGCCCCCACCUGUGGUCGUCGCCGACGAGAACGAAGAAGAGGUUUUCCUUGGUCAGUACAAGGCAAAUAAGGUCCUAAGUGACGACGUUGACAGCGACCCAGAAACCUAG
rnacentral:rRNA from 1 species